rnacentral:lncRNA from 1 species
UUUUUUUUUUUUUUUCCUACUGUCUUUUGGUCUUCUGUUCUUCUGUUUGAAGAACAGAAAGCAGCCACACUUAAAGUUUACGAGAUUCUUGUUCUGUCCCUUGGUGGAAGUGUUUACAUCUGGGAACCAGAUUCUCUAUACCUGGAGAGCCUGAAACUAGGAAUAGGAACCACAAAUUCCCCCAAAAGGGUCACUGGGAGUGAUAUUAACUAGGAUUAUUCUUAUUUUCACAUCUUGUCUUCUGGCCCUUGGUAUCACACCCAUUUGGCAAUAGAAUUAUAUUAUAGUUAUUGAAUAGGGUGCACACUUCAUCCUGGAGCAUGGUGUCCCAUCAUCUCUAAAAUGGUCCUUCAGCUGCACCUUUGAAAGGCUAUUCUUUUACUCUAUCAGCUCUAUUCAAAGUGGGUGGCAAAAUAUGUGAUAGUUCCAGAAGAUUCCAUGAUCUUUUGCCCACUCUUGAUCUGAUACGAUGGUAUAUGAGAGUCCAUGUCAGUAAAUGAAAUACUCUUUAAGCCCUCAGGGAGUGGAGCUGAUUGAAGCCUUUAGCAGGAAAGAGAAAUCCAUAUCCAGAAUAUUUGCUGAUUCAAGUCAAGAUUAAUCACCAACCUUCCAGAGAAGAGCAGGUCCAGUGUCAUCAACUUGUUACCAAGUGGCUUGUUGGCCAUCAGUUGCUGGCAGGUUGAACAUUUGGUAGCCACAAUUGUUAGCUAAGCUUUGGUGAGUGGGAGACCAUUCUGUUGGGCCUACCCCUGCCACCAUAUACAAUAUGCCUAUGUGUAGCCUCCAUCUGUGCCAACAUGGCCACUUUAUUUAUGUGCUCAUUGUGCCAAUGUGAGUGGUUGAUGACAGAGGCUGGCAAACAUCAGCUAAGCCAAGUCAUUCUAUCUACUUAACCAAGUGUCUCCUCUGGUGGAGGCUCUCAGAUGGACAUUAACAUGCAAUAUAUAGGGACGACUGGGUGGCUCAGUGGUUGAGUGGUUGAGUGCCUGCCUUCGGCCCAGGGCAUGAUCCUGGAAUCCCAGGAUCAUCGGGCUCCCUGCAUGGAGCUUGCUUCUCCCUCUGC